rnacentral:rRNA from 1 species
AGUCUUUGAACGCAAGUUGCGCCCGAGGCCAUCCGGGUAAGGGCACGCCUGCCUGGGCGUCACGCUUUUGACGGUUUGUCGUUGCACCCUCGGGGGGUGGGGGCGAACGCGGAGGAUGGCCCCCCGUGCCGGAAGGUGCGGUUGGCCGAAGAGCGGGCCGUCGGUGGUUGUCGAACACGACGCGUGGUGGAUGCCUUGUGCGAGCCGUACGUCGUGCCUUCGGGACCCGGGCGAGGCCUCGAGGACCCAAGUCGUGGUGCGAGUCGAUGCCACGGACCGCGACCCCAGGUCAGGUGGGGCUACCCGCUGAGUUUAAGCAUAUAAAUAAGCGGAGGAGAAGAAACUUACGAGGAUUCCCUUAGUAACGGCGAGCGAACCGGGAUCAUGUCCAG